CAGCGUGGAGGCUCCCCUGGUCUCCCCACACGGCCGGGGCCUCGCCCCAGCCCCAGCGCAGCCCCUCACCAGCUCCCAGAAACCGGUGAGAAGCAGCCCAUAGCUUGUUACCUGUUUAUCCGAAGGACAGAUCGGUGCUCAAGAAAGGUGGCGACACGGAGGCCCAGAGUGAGGAAGUCAUGUAUUCAAGGUGGCAGAGCUGGGAUUUGUAUAUCAUCUCUGUACCUGAGCCCCUAACCUGCAAGUCAUAAUAGGCAACGGAUCAAGGUUAUGAUGCAGUGGAGGCCCUUAC
rnacentral:lncRNA from 10 species